GAUCAGGGCCCACGCAACGGAAACCCGUGAACCCCGUCAGGACCGGAAGGUAGCAGCGGCAGCGGGAGCUUUCGUGUGCCGUGGUCUCCCUGAUCGGA
rnacentral:SRP_RNA from 1 species